rnacentral:lncRNA from 1 species
CGAGCACACCCCUCAGGAAAGACAAAACAAAGCAAAAAGAAAAUAAGAAAAAAAAAGACGGGUAUUGCUGGAGAGCAAGGAUUUCCCCGAGGUCAAGGGGCUGAGACGCGGUAAGGGCACCCAGCAGCCUGGGGAGGAUGCCCCAGCGCCACCCACGGCUGCGGGUGGGGGACAAGGAUGGGGAAGAGCGUGGGUGUGCGUGUGGUGGUGUGUGUUUGUGUGCGUGCGUGUGUGUGUGUGUGCGCGGGGGGCAGCUGCUCGGUGCUCCACGCAGCCGCGUGUCAUCCUAGGUGGCAGAGGGAGCGCCUACCGGAGGAGCCAGGGAUCUGCGAGGCGAGCCGGUGCCGCAGGAAGGCAGAGGGAUGGCAUUUACCCUCCCGGCCACGAAAGGAGGACAUGUGUGAACACAGCAUCCUUGGCAUGAGGUGCCCAGCAGAUCUGAAGUAUCCCAGCAAUGCAGAGAGAAUAGUUACCUAUCAAGGUAGGAGAAAAUCAACUUCCAGGACAUAAAGGCAGACACCAAGGUUGGGGGAAACUAGGAGUUUCACUGAAACAGAGGUGGCUGGUGCUGCAGAAAUGGCAGGGUGAAGUUCUUAUGUUGCCAUGAUCCUGACCUAUGCCUCUCUCCUCUGGAUAGUGAGCACCAGGGAAAGUCCUGGGCUGCUUUGGCCUGGUAGGGGGAUGAUGCUCAGGGAGCAGGAGCUGAGUUUCAGCAGAGCAUCACAGGCAGCUUUUCCCCAGUGGUGAAAGCUACUAAACAAGCUUGUAAAAUUGGGGACCACCACAUUGGUCUUGCUCAAGAAUGAUCUUGUGACUCUAUUCCCUCUGUGGAGCCAUUGUCAGGCAUAUUUUUCUUCUGUUACAGCUACAGCAUUUGUUGUGCACAUUUUCCAAUCAAGAAUAAACUUGAUAUUAAACUCA